AAAUGACAAAGUUUUAGUUGAC
rnacentral:snRNA from 1 species